rnacentral:sRNA from 1 species
AAUUUGAACAGACCAUAGGUUUAUUUCAUUGCUAUAGCAACUAGGACACUGCUUCAUUAAUUCUAGUCUUAGGGAAGAAAACACAAGAUCCUGCAUAUAGGUUCCACAUUUGAUCCAAGAUUCUGGGGAGAUAGAAGUUUGGGAGUCUUUUAUGUAAUAUGCUUUCAACCAAUGAUUCUCAGCCAUCCUAAUACUGUAACACUAAUAUAUUUCCUUAUGGUUUGGUGAUUACUAACCAUUACAUCAUUUUGCUGCUUUCUCACAAUUAAAAUUUUGCUAUUGGUAAGAAUUAUAAAGAAAAAUGGAGAGAAUAUCUGACAUGGAAGAUAUAUGAUAUGUGAACCCCUAAUGGAUUAUGACUCCCAAAUUGAAAAUCACUGGUCUAAACUGCUAAUUUUAAACAAAAAUGCUUUUCAUGUUCUUUCUAAAAUGUACAUUGACCAUUACUUUUUUAUUUUCAUUUAAAAAAAGGACUUCAUUGCAAACAUUGAAGGAAGUUACUUACUUCUGACUUAUAUGAGAAUUGGCUUAGCGUCCCAGAUGAAGGAACUCUGGUUGGAAAAAACAAGAGGUUUCCUUAGCACAGACAUGUAUUGUCACUUUUUAAACAUGUUUAUUUCUCAAACUAGAGUGUUGAACCAUGUCUGUAAUCCCACCUGGGUGUCUUCUCCUUUAUAACUGUCACAGUUUAGAAGACAGCCUAUGCAACACCUUGUGUGCAGGUCAGCCUAGAGUAUUGGUUUAGUUCCUGUGUGAAACAAAUUAAAAGAAAGAGGUGUGUAUAAUACCUGUGGAUUGUUUGCAUCCUAGUAUUAUUACCAUGUUACUGUGAAUAUACCACAUGCUAAAUAUAUGUCAUUGAUUAGAACAUGAAGCUAUUACUGAAUACUUCUUUCUCAAAUAUAACUACCUCGAACAGUCUAGGUCAGGUAUAGCUUUGACUUCUUUGAAUCUUUUUUCUGUGCAAUACUCCAGAGAAUGAUUUUGUGUGUAACAGGAGCAUUGAGCUCCACUUGCUACCCAGGCGCCAUGCAUCUCUGUCUUGCUGUACCGAACCUUUUAUAAUCGCAUUGUGUAGGGUCACUAGAGUGCUUUCUGCUCCUUACGUUCUAGAGUGUCACAAGAAUGUUACAUGGAUUUAUACUACAUUAGAUAUUAAAUGUGUCUCCACUCCAUGGUGCUUGGGAAGAUGGAUUGAUGUUUAAUAACACUAGAUGUUUUCAUACACAGAACACACAUGGUCUGCAACAAUCCCAUUCAUUCUAAUACCAAUAUCCGGACACCUUCCUCUGGCUUCUGUAGGUAGCAGUCAAAUAUCUAUUACAUAGAAAUUCAUUCAUACUUUUAAAAUGUUCCCAUGAUUUUAUACAGUAAAAUGAUUCGCAGAAAAUAUUUUUUGUAGUACUCUACCUGUAUAUUAUACGUCUUUUGAAUUCUGGUUAUACUAUGAGUUGGUCUACAAAACAUUUGCCCUGUUUUCUUCAUAGUUUUGUAACUAACAUUAGUUUUCAGAUGGUCUAAAAUAAAAUUAUCCUUUUUCUUCGUUUAGACUUCUACUGAAGAUUCCUCAGGCAAACUUUAUCCUUCUAAAGCAUCUCAUUUGGUAUUAGUAAUAAUAAGAGACUCAUCCACGAAUAAUUUAGACACUAACAGGUUAUCUAUCCGGAUAGCUCCUUAUGUUUUGUGGGAUCAGACUACAAAGGAUGCAUGGUUUGGGAGUGAUGUAUCAAGAAAGAUGUCCAUUAUACAAAUCAUGAUCGACAACUAUCAUCAAAUAUUUGGAAAUUAUAAUAUAUUUUAUAAACGUAUUGACAGAAGAUCUGAGGAUUUAAAGACUUGUGCAGAUUCAAUAAACUCUUCUGGCAAAUCACCUAUUAUGAAAGAAUUCCUAGCUGGCCACAACAAGAAGACAUGCGAUAAUGGUGAAAAAUUAAAAAUUUCAUCCAUUGCUCUGCAGGAGGAAGGUCCUACAGUUGAGCCAAGAUUUAGUCAUCAAAUGAAUGGAAGGAUGACAUCAUUCACUUAUUUCAUAAAUUUGUAAAUAUGAGAGCAGUUUUGGGCACAAAAUGAUAUUAGAGUAUGGAAAAACUUUUUAACCAACACUUUAAUUAAAUUAUACUUAAAUUUAUGCAUAUGUAUAUACAAACCAAUAUAUAUGUAUAUAUAAUUUAUAUGUAUACACACAAACAGACACACACACACAAAUACUUAGGUACUAUAUAUACCACAGACUCUUUAUUCAGCCUCUGUAAGAAUCCCACAAUAUUGCCGUUCUUCCUAUGGUCUUUAAGUCAUAGAGGAUUCAUGCACAUGAAAUUAUUAUUUUUGAUAAGAUCAUUUAGAAACAAUGUUUUAAUUUAUACAUCCAUUAGAGAUUCUGCAUGUUUAAGUCCUGUACCACUGUCAACAUGCUUUUUGAUUUUAAUGCAAAAAUAAUGUCUGUUUAAUUUCCUAUGAGAGACAAUCUUGCCAAAUGCUUAGCAUUAGCAUAAAUAUUAAAUUGCACAGGAUCCACUACAAAACCUACAUGAAGAAAAAGAUUUACUUAUAUAUAGUAAGUAAUAUCCCAGAGGAUACAAUGUUAGGAAGGAGGGGAUGUGGAUUUGCCUCAGUGCUGGAGCACUUGUCUAGUGAGCAGGAAGCCCUGGGUUCCCUCAUCACCUCAGGGUGUGGGGUGGGUGGGGAAUGGGAGGGGUGAGAAGAAGAAAAAAAAAACCUGUAAAGCAAUUUGGAAUCAAUGCUCAUGAAAGGCUCUGCCCAGUACCCAGAGUCUCCUCAGUCUGAAUGACCCUUGACCUUCAUGUCAUUUCCAGGGAGCAGGGACCCACUUCUGUAAUGUGGGUACACGAGGCUUCAUCUGAACGCCAUGUUCCUAACUGGAUCUGUGUGGCUCUGUUCACUUAUCUGUGAUCCCUUCCAACUCUACAGUGCUGUUUUCCCAUUAAGGGUCAACUGCAGCUGAAUUUAAAUUUCAGGUUGGCUCAGAUCAUCCUCUCUAGCUGUGUGAUCUUCCCAACCCGCCAUCUAUUCCACAGAGACAGCCCCUCUCUGUAGGGGAGCUGUGCCCAUCAAAGGGAGAAGCCGCAUCAAGAGGACCUGAUGCCCCCAGAAGCCUGGAUUGCUGGAUAUGCAUGUUUCUGUGAUGUACACAUAUACUCACACAUUUAUAAAACUACUGGUAUAUGUUGUGCCCUUGGUUUUAUUCUCUGUGUAUUUGAACUUUAUAAUAAAAAUACUUUUCACUGUGUA